UCCUGAUUUGUGACAAAAAAAUGUAAAAUAGUCUAAUAUUUUUUUAUAUUUUGAAUGUAAAAUAAAUAAACUAAAAUAAAACAAAAGAUACAUCUUUUUCAUUUCCGUAGUAAGUUAUUCUAAAAGAUAGUAAGAAUAGUUGAUAUUCCAAGACAUCCUGAGUAAAAGUGUAAAACCUCAUUGAGCCUUAAGUGUACCGCAUGAUAA
rnacentral:lncRNA from 1 species